rnacentral:rRNA from 1 species
CUCAAUGAAAUUCAAUAGCCGCAAAUACUUGUGCUAAGGUAGCAUAAUCAUUAGUCUUUUAAUUAAAGGCCAGAACGAAAGAUUUAACAUUUUAAUUUCUCUCUUAUAUAUAAACAUUAAAUCUAUUUUAAAUAUAAAAAAAUAUUUAUUAAAUAAAAAGACAACAAGACCCUAUUGAACUUUACUAAAGUUAAACUGGGGAAGUUAAUUAAAUAUAAUUUUAAUUUAUAUAUAAAAAAACUAAUUAAUUAUAAAUCAAGUUACCCUAGGGAUAACAGCGUAAUAAUUUUUUAAAGAUCUUAUUUAAAAAACUGCUUACGACCUCGAUGUUGAAUUAAUAAUCUAUUUUAUGAAACAAUUUAAUAAGAAAGUC